GGGAUUGCCCUAGUAACGGCGAGUGAAGCGGCAACAGCUCAAAUUUGAAAUCUGGCUCUCGGGCCCGAGUUGUAAUUUGUAGAGGAUGACUUUGAUGCGGUCCUUCCGAGUUCCCUGGAACGGGACGCCAUAGAGGGUGAGAGCCCCGCUGGUUGGAUGCCAAAUCUCUGUAAGUCUCCUUCGACGAGUCGAGUAGUUUGGGAAUGCUGCUCUAAAUGGGAGGUAUAUGUCUUCUAAAGCUAAAUACCGGCCAGAGACCGAUAGCGCACAAGUAGAGUGAUCGAAAGAUGAAAAGCACUUUGAAAAGAGAGUUAAAAAGUACGUGAAAUUGUUGAAAGGGAAGCGUUAUGACCAGACUUGGGCUUGGUAAUCAUCUGGGGUUCUCCCCAGUGCACUUUUCCAGUCCAGGCCAGCAUCAGUUUUCGCCGGGGGACAAAGGCUU
rnacentral:rRNA from 1 species